AGCGGCGAACGGGUGAGUAAUGCAUCGGAACGUACCGUGUAGUGGGGGAUAACGUAGCGAAAGUUACGCUAAUACCGCAUACGCCCUGAGGGGGAAAGUGGGGGACCGCAAGGCCUCACGCUAUAUGAGCGGCCGAUGUCGGAUUAGCUAGUUGGUAGGGUAAAGGCCUACCAAGGCGACGAUCCGUAGCGGGUCUGAGAGGAUGAUCCGCCACACUGGGACUGAGACACGGCCCAGACUCCUACGGGAGGCAGCAGUGGGGAAUUUUGGACAAUGGGCGCAAGCCUGAUCCAGCCAUGCCGCGUGAGUGAAGAAGGCCUUCGGGUUGUAAAGCUCUUUCAGACGGAAAGAAAUCUCUCGGGAUAACACCCUGGGAGGAUGACGGUACCGUAAGAAGAAGCACCGGCUAACUACGUGCCAGCAGCCGCGGUAAUACGUAGGGUGCGAGCGUUAAUCGGAAUUACUGGGCGUAAAGCGUGCGCAGGCGGUGAUGUAAGACAGAUGUGAAAUCCCCGGGCUCAACCUGGGAACUGCGUUUGUGACUGCAUCACUCGAGUACGGCAGAGGGAGGUGGAAUUCCGCGUGUAGCAGUGAAAUGCGUAGAUAUGCGGAGGAACACCGAUGGCGAACGCAGCCUCCUGGGCCAGU
rnacentral:rRNA from 1 species